UACAGAGGUCUCAAGCGUUGUUCGGAUUCAUUGGGCGUAAAGGGUGCGUAGGUGGCGGGGUAAGUCUGGUGUGAAAUCUCGGGGCUCAACCCCGAAACUGCACUGGAUACUGCCUUGCUUGAGUACUGGAGAGGAGAUUGGAAUUUACGGUGUAGCAGUGAAAUGCGUAGAUAUCGUAAGGAAGACCAGUGGCGAAGGCGGCUCUCUGGACCAGCACUGACACUGAGGCACGAAAGCGUGGGGAGCAAACAGG
rnacentral:rRNA from 1 species